rnacentral:rRNA from 1 species
GACAGAGGGUGCAAACGUUGCUCGGAUUUACUGGGCGUAAAGCGCAAGUAGGCGGUCUUGUAAGUCGGGUGUGAAAACCCGGGGCUCAACCCCGGCAGUGCACACGAUACUGCGAGACUGGGGUACUGAAGAGGAGAGCGGAAUUACUCGGUGUAGAGGUGAAAUUCGUAGAUAUCGGGAGGAACACCAAUGGCGAAGGCGGCUCUCUGGG